GUCGAACGAAGAGCGAUGGAAGCUUGCUUCUAUCAAUCUUAGUGGCUUACGGGUGAGUAACGCGUAAUCAACCUGCCCUUCAGAGGCGGACAACAGUUGGAAACGACUGCUAAUACCGCAUACGAUCCAAUCUCGGCAUCGAGACUGGAUGAAAGGUGGCCUCUAUUUAUAAGCUAUCACUGAAGGAGGGGAUUGCGUCUGAUUAGCUAGUUGGAGGGGUAACGGCCCACCAAGGCGAUGAUCAGUAGCCGGUCUGAGAGGAUGAACGGCCACAUUGGGACUGAGACACGGCCCAGACUCCUACGGGAGGCAGCAGUGGGGAAUCUUCCGCAAUGGACGAAAGUCUGACGGAGCAACGCCGCGUGAGUGAUGACGGCCUUCGGGUUGUAAAGCUCUGUUAAUCGGGACGAAUGGUUCUUGUGCGAAUAGUGCGAGGAUUUGACGGUACCGGAAUAGAAAGCCACGGCUAACUACGUGCCAGCAGCCGCGGUAAUACGUAGGUGGCAAGCGUUGUCCGGAAUUAUUGGGCGUAAAGCGCGCGCAGGCGGAUUGGUCAGUCUGUCUUAAAAGUUCGGGGCUUAACCCCGUGAUGGGAUGGAAACUGCCAAUCUAGAGUAUCGGAGAGGAAAGUGGAAUUCCUAGUGUAGCGGUGAAAUGCGUAGAUAUUAGGAAGAACACCAGUGGCGAAGGCGACUUUCUGGACGAAAACUGACGCU
rnacentral:rRNA from 1 species